rnacentral:misc_RNA from 1 species
GUCUGCGUACAUCGGAACGUGAAAACAGUACUGGUAUUCGCAGCUUCUGUCAAAAACGCGAUUGAUAGACCACCAGCUGAUGCUGCUGACAAAAUCGGCCGGUGAUAUAUUCCUCAAUAGUUUAUAGUUGAUUGAGUUCCUUUUCCAAUAUCUCUUCGAGAAACUGAGGUUCUCGUGGGACAUCGACGUCGCGAGACAACCAGUACAUCGGAUUUUCCUGGCUCUCUGAGUGCGGGAAUAAUAAUGGCACAGAAUUCAACAAAAUCCGCGGAACAAUUCAAACUUAUACCAAAAAUCAUAAAUGGUGGAAUUGCCGGAAUUAUUGGAGUUUCUGUAGUGUUUCCGCUUGAUUUGGUUAAAACGAGAUUACAGAAUCAAAUCAUCGGUCCACAUGGCGAACGGAUGUAUAAAUCAAUGUUUGACUGUUUUAAAAAGACUUAUAAAGCAGAGGGCUAUUUUGGAAUGUAUAAAGGAUCUGCUGUAAAUAUAUUGUUGAUUACACCCGAGAAAGCCAUCAAACUUACUGCCAAUGAUACAUUUAGACAUUAUCUUUCUCCCGGAACGGGACAAAAAUUGCCCAUAGAACGUGAAAUGCUCGCUGGCGGUUUGGCGGGAGCAUGCCAAAUAAUCGUUACCACCCCGAUGGAACUACUCAAAAUACAAAUGCAAGACGCUGGCAGAGUCGCCAUGGCAGCUAAAGAAGCGGGUAAAGCAGUGCCAAAGGUAUCUGCUUGGUCAUUAACGGUAGACCUACUUAGGAAACGAGGUAUACUUGGAUUGUAUCAGGGAACCGGGGCCACGGCACUCAGGGACGUUACGUUUUCCGUUAUUUAUUUCCCUUUAUUUGCCAGGUUGAACGAUCUCGGUCCGAAGCGAGAAGAUGGUUCAUCUGUAUUCUGGUGUUCAUUCCUUGCCGGAUGUGCAGCCGGUUCAACAGCAGCAUUAAUGGUCAAUCCAUUUGACGUAAUCAAAACUAGAUUGCAAGUUAUUAAAAAAGCACCUGGUGAUCCAACGUACAAUGGAGUAUUAGACUGUAUAAUCAAAACAUUUACAAACGAGGGACCGACGGCGUUCUUCAAAGGUGGUGCUUGCCGAAUGAUCGUCAUAGCACCGUUGUUUGGAAUUGCGCAAACCGUUUAUUAUCUUGGCGUAGCCGAAUGGCUACUGGGAUUGAAAUGAAAUCGCCAUAUCUCGCCGACUCGUGCCGUUCAAAUGUUCUGGAAAACUGACAAUAAUUGCUGUAGAUGUAGUUGUAUUUUGGCUUGAAGAUAUCCGUUCCGCUGCAAAAAGAUAUCAUUGUUAAAUGAAAUCUCGCUUAUAUGUAAAAGAAAGUAAGAGUGUGUAUUAAUUGACAUAAUUCUCGCAGGUCGCGAAUUAUAAUGGAUUCACAGUUGAGAUAUAUAAUCCAAUGUUUCAUGUCCCAUAAAGUGCAUUAAAAUUAUUAAUCAGUUACAAUGAAGUCGUGUGAAGAGUUGUGUGAUAUACGUAUAUAAUAUACGUACACUGGAAUCUUCGUUGUCAUAUCCACGAGACUAGCCAAUUAUAUAGUCAAUUAUAUAUGUACAUUAAAGACUUUAAGCAGAUUUAUCGUGAUAUUUUUUUAAACAGUUUAAUUUAGAAUGAAAUAAUAGAAUAUUUUGUUGAAGCUCAUAUUCUUGUUACCUAAUUUUCUUAAUUUCUAUCUUA